CCUGACACCUAAUGCUAAAGUGACGUACAGGCCCUGUACUAUGCUACCACCCAGCCGACAACAUAGACCCCUCCUGACUGGGCACAGGUGUUUCCACCCACUACCAGCAAACAAACAAACCCAAACUUCCAGCCCACACUAAGACUUCGAUGUCAGGAGUAGGUGGGCUCCUGGUGUGGACCACCCCACCGGACUUAGACAAUCGAUGGAACAGAGGGAGCAAUGUAGAUAUACACCUCAUUGGUGAGCUCCAUAAGAGCCAGG